rnacentral:rRNA from 1 species
AGUGAACGCUGGCGGUAGGCCUAACACAUGCAAGUCGAACGGCAGCACAGUAAGAGCUUGCUCUUACGGGUGGCGAGUGGCGGACGGGUGAGGAAUACAUCGGAAUCUACUUUUUCGUGGGGGAUAACGUAGGGAAACUUACGCUAAUACCGCAUACGACCUACGGGUGAAAGCAGGGGAUCUUCGGACCUUGCGCGAUUGAAUGAGCCGAUGUCGGAUUAGCUAGUUGGCGGGGUAAAGGCCCACCAAGGCGCCGAUCCGUAGCUGGUCUGAGAGGAUGAUCGGCCACACUGGAACUGAGACACGGUCCAUACUACUACGGGAGGCAGCAGUGGGGAAUAUUGGACAAUGGGCGCAAGCCUGAUCCAGCCAUACCGCGUGGGUGAAGAAGGCCUUCGGGUUGUAAAGCCCUUUUGUUGGGAAAGAAAAGCAGCAGGUUAAUACCCCGCUGUUCUGACGGUACCCAAAGAAUAAGCACCGGCUAACUUCGUG